UCCUCAGUAGCUCAAUGGUAGAGUGGUCGACUAUUAAUUGUCUGGUCAUAGGUUCAAAUCCUACAUGGGGAG
rfam:Glycine max cultivar Williams 82 chromosome 16, whole genome shotgun sequence.